UAGUCCACGCCGUAAACGAUGGUCACUAGUUGUUGGGGCUUUAUGCCUCAGUGAUUAAGAGAAAUUGAUAAGUGACCCACCUGGGGAGUACGAUCGCAAGAUUGAAACUCAAAGGAAUUGACGGGGGCCCGCACAAGCGGUGGAGCAUGUGGUUUAAUUCGAUGAUACGCGAGGAACCUUACCAGGGCUUAAAUGUAAGUUGCAUGAUUUAGAGAUAGAUCUUUCUUCGGACUACUUACAAGGUGCUGCAUGGUUGUCGUCAGCUCGUGCCGUGAGGUGUCAGGUUAAGUCCUAUAACGAGCGCAACCCCUGUUGUUAGUUGCCAGCAUUUAAAGAUGGGAACUCUAACAAGACUGCCGGUGCAAACCGUGAGGAAGGUGGGGAUGACGUCAAAUCAUCACGGCCCUUACGUCCUGGGCUACACACGUGCUACAAUGGACUGUACAAAGGGUCGCAACACCGCGAGGUGAAGCUAAUCUCAAAAAGCAGUUCUCAGUUCGGAUUGG
rnacentral:rRNA from 1 species